GACGAACGCUGGCGGCGUGCUUAACACAUGCAAGUCGAACGGAAAGGCCCUGCUUUUGUGGGGUGCUCGAGUGGCGAACGGGUGAGUAACACGUGAGUAACCUGCCCUUGACUUUGGGAUAACUUCAGGAAACUGGGGCUAAUACCGGAUAGGAGCUCCUGCUGCAUGGUGGGGGUUGGAAAGUUUCGGCGGCUGGGGAUGGACUCGCGGCUUAUCAGCUUGUUGGUGGGGUAGUGGCUUACCAAGGCUUUGACGGGUAGCCGGCCUGAGAGGGUGACCGGCCACAUUGGGACUGAGAUACGGCCCAGACUCCUACGGGAGGCAGCAGUGGGGAAUAUUGCACAAUGGGCGGAAGCCUGAUGCAGCAACGCCGCGUGCGGGAUGACGGCCUUCGGGUUGUAAACCGCUUUCGCCUGUGACGAAGCGUGAGUGACGGUAAUGGGUAAAGAAGCACCGGCUAACUGCGUG
rnacentral:rRNA from 1 species